UAGAGUUUGAUCAUGGCUCAGAUUGAACGCUGGCGGCAGGCCUAACACAUGCAAGCCGAGCGGUAACAGAAAAGAAGCUUGCUUCUUUUGCUGACGAGCGGCGGACGGGUGAGUAAUGCCUGGGAAUAUACCCUGAUGUGGGGGAUAACUAUUGGAAACGAUAGCUAAUACCGCAUAAUCUCUUCGGAGCAAAGAGGGGGACCUUCGGGCCUCUCGCGUCAGGAUUAGCCCAGGUGGGAUUAGCUAGUUGGUGGGGUAAUGGCUCACCAAGGCGACGAUCCCUAGCUGGUCUGAGAGGAUGAUCAGCCACACUGGAACUGAGACACGGUCCAGACUCCUACGGGAGGCAGCAGUGGGGAAUAUUGCACAAUGGGGGAAACCCUGAUGCAGCCAUGCCGCGUGUAUGAAGAAGGCCUUCGGGUUGUAAGGUACUUUCAGUUGUGAGGAAGGCGUUAAAGUUAAUAGCUUUAGCGUUUGACGUUAGCAACAGAAGAAGCACCGGCUAACUCCGUGCCAGCAGCCGCGGUAAUACGGAGGGUGCGAGCGUUAAUCGGAAUUACUGGGCGUAAAGCGCAUGCAGGCGGUCUGUUAAGCAAGAUGUGAAAGCCCGGGGCUCAACCUCGGAACAGCAUUUUGAACUGGCAGACUAGAGUCCUGUAGAGGGGGGUAGAAUUUCA
rnacentral:rRNA from 1 species